UACGUAGGGUGCAAGCGUUGUCCGGAAUUAUUGGGCGUAAAGAGCUCGUAGGCGGUUUGUCGCGUCUGCUGUGAAAACCCGGGGGCUCAACCCCCGGGCCUGCAUUCGAUACGGGGCAGACUAGAGUUCGGUAGGGGAGUCUGGAAUUCCUGGUGUAGCGGUGAAAUGCGCAGAUAUCAGGAGGAACACCGGUGGCGAAGGCGGGACUCUGGGCCGAUACUGACGCUGAGGAGCGAAAGCGUGGGGAGCGAACAGG
rnacentral:rRNA from 1 species